GCCCCAGUAACGGCGAGUGAAGCGGCAACAGCUCAAAUUUGAAAUCUGGCCCCCCGGCCCGAGUUGUAAUUUGGAGAGGAUGCUUCUGGCGCGGCGCCGUCCGAGUUCCUUGGAACAGGACGCCACAGAGGGUGAGAGCCCCGUACGGACGGACGCCUAGCCUCUACGAAGCUCCUUCGACGAGUCGAGUAGUUUGGGAAUGCUGCUCAAAAUGGGAGGUAAAUUUCUUCUAAAGCUAAAUACCGGCCAGAGACCGAUAGCGCACAAGUAGAGUGAUCGAAAGAUGAAAAGCACUUUGAAAAGAGGGUUAAAAAGUACGUGAAAUUGUUGAAAGGGAAGCGCCUGUGACCAGACUUGCGCCCCGCGGACCACCCGGCGUUCUCGCCGGUGCACUCCGCGGGAUGCAGGCCAGCAUCGGUUCUCCCAGGGGGACAAAGGUUGCGGGAACGUAGCUCCUUCGGGAGUGUUAUAGCCCGUGGCGGCAUGCCCCUGGGGGGACCGAGGACCGCGCUUCGGCAAGGAUGCUGGCGUAAUGGUCACCAG
rnacentral:rRNA from 1 species